rnacentral:tRNA from 1 species
GCCCAGUCGGCGGAAACUCACGGAACGAGCGCCUUUAAAACGUUAGGUCGUCAGUUCAAUCCUGACAGGGGGCUCCA